GCCGAGGGCACACCCAGUGCAGGGAGGAGCAGGGCCGGUUCCUUCGGGAGGCUGGCGUGGAGGAUCCAUCCUUUGCCUCUUCCCGCUUUCAAUGCUUGUUGGCCUCCUCGGCUGUGAGCCGGGUCUCCCGUCUCUGCCUCUGUCUUCACGUGGCCCCACCCUGUGUCUUAUCUUCUCUCUCUUACGAGGACACUUGUCACUGGCCCACCUAGGUCAUCCGGGAUGGUCUCACCUCAAGACGCUUCACUUAGUUACACCUACAAAGACCCCUUUCCCAAAUAAACUCACGUUCACAGGAUCCUGCGAUUUGCACACAGACACAUCCUUGUGGGGCCCCCGUUCACCCCAUUCCACCUUUCGACAUUCUGGAGAAGAGCUGCCCUGCCCGGGAGAUACCCAGAUGGAUAGACCUGGCCCUACCCCAAGGGACCCACCCCCCAGUGGGAGCAUGGUGAGCCAAGAGAGGGAGCCGUGACGCCCGGGCUCCUACAUAACACGCGCUUAAUGUGGCCUCUCGAUUCCUCCAGUGUGGACUUUGCAUCUUGGCAUCUCCUUCUGGGGGAUGAGAAUUUCAGCUUUCCUGCACCUCCCUUUCUCCUCCCCAGCUCCCAGCAGAGCUGAAUCCGUGUUCACUGUUGCCGUGAGGAAGGCUGGAGGUGUUAUUCAUUGCUGGGCCAAGUGGGUCACUAUGAUUACAACCGAGGGCACGUGUUGUGUGCCCAGUAUUUACAGAUGAAAUGACCGUGUCUGGGAUUUGCUUGACAAUAAUCUUGGCGGAGGGGUAGGUCAGGAUAUGGGUCAAACCAAAUUGACCGUGUGGGUUGAUAGUUGUUGAAGGUGGGUGAUGGAUUCAUGAGGGUUUAUCAUAGCAUUCUCUUUUUGCAUUUGUGUGACAUCUUCUAUAAUAAUAUUUUAAUAGUUAUUUUAGGGAGACCCUCUGUGUUUUAAACCCUCAGUCUUUAGAUGUCUGGAAAAAUUGCUUCUUGGUCCUCACUUUGGAAUGUAAUUUACCCAAGUUUUGAACAUUAACUGCAGCCCACCCAUUUUACACCACAACUCAGCAUGCACGCACUACGUUUCAUCCAUUCUAUCGUGACUCCUUUGUGACAUUUUGGUGUCUGUGAAAUCAGGAUGUGUCUUACAAACGAUGGCAUCUUAGACUUGAUGAACUAUGGCGUACGACAAAACUUCACGUGGGCUGCAGCUUCUCUGCUGCUCCUCCCACUGACAGGUGGGGUCUCAUCCCCUGCAGCCUGGCCGGCCUCAGUGACUUGGUUGACCAAAUGAAUGUGGCAGAUGUGAUGUUUGGGGACCCCUGAAGUCAGGUCAUCAGAAGCCUUGCAGCUUCCACCUGAGCUCUGUGGGAACUCCUUCUCUGAAAGGAGUCAGCUGCCAAGUAAGACCAGCCACCCUGAGAGCGCCAUGCUGUAAGGAAGCCCGAGGUACCCACGUAGAGAGAUGGUGUUGAGCGAGACCCCCAGAUGUUGCCGCCCUCCCAUGGUAGGUGCCAAACAUGUAAGUGAAGAAGCCUAUCUGGACAGUCCAGUCCCUGCAGACACGACAGGGAGGAGAAAGGGGAAACCCACCCGACAGGCAGAACCAAGGCCCUAGAUGUGUGGCCCAGUCAGGUCAUCCCAGCUGCGGCCAACCAUUCGAGACACCUGGUUGGGGCUCCACUGGAAGCAAACAAACUGUCCAAACUUCUGACCCCUCCAGUUGUCAGCUCAAUGGUGCAGACAUUGAGGACAAUGGUGCUGGUUUUUCACUUCUAACAUUUGGCGUGGUUUAUUACACAGCAAUAGAUACUUGGAACUCUUCCGUGUGACAUGCACUUUUAUAUUUUCUCUUCUUUUUUUUUUUAAUGGUGUUUUCCCCCCAGAAAAUUGAUUUCACAAUCCACUAAAAGAUCACCAUCUGUUACGUUUUCUUAUCUGUUGCUAUGCAGAAAUCCACCCCAAAACUUAGUGGUGAAAAACAACGAUUUAUUGUUUCUCUCAAUUUGGCGGGUUCGCAAUCUGGGUGACUCUUCUGCGGGUCUUUGCUGGAAUCGCUGGUGUGAUGGCAUUUGCCUGACGGCUCCACUGGGGCUGGAGGGUCCGGGAGGGCCUCAGUCAAGUUCCUGGCCGGUAGUGCUGGCUGUGGGCUGGGCGCCUCUCUUCCCUUUCCUGUGGCCUCUCUCGUAUUCCUUAGGCUAGACUGGCUUCUUCACAGCAGUGUCAGCUCAGCUUCCAAGAGGAAGGUCAGAAGCUGCGAGGCAUCUUAAGGGCUAGACCCCCGAACUCACACCAUGUCAUUUCUGUGACAUUUUAUUGAUCAGAGGAGGUCACAAGGCCGGCCCAGAUUCGAGUCUGGAGAAACAGACCCCAUUCAUCUCUUGAUGGGAGGAGCAGCCGUGUCACUGCUAUGGACUGAGUGUGGACCCGCCAAAAUCCGAGCCCAAAUUGACCAGGACAGUCGCUUGGCAAAGAGAUGUGGACACGGAAGCAUGGUUCUUUGAAGGCUGUAGCAGACAGGUCAGGUGGCCACAACAGCAGAACACAGACUGGGUGACUUAAACAACAGACGUGUAUUUCCUCUCAGUCCUGGAGGCUAAAAAUUCCAAGAUCGAGGUGUCGACCGGGUGAGUUUCUCCUGAGGCCCCUCUCCUCGGCGUGUAGAUGCCGUCUUCUCCGUGUCCUCACCUGGCCUUCCCUCUGUGAGUCCACACCCCUGGUGUGUCCAAUCGUGUCAGAUCAGGGCCUCACCCGUAUGACCUAAUUUAACCAUAAUUACCUCUGUAAAAGCCCUGUCUCCAAAAACAGUCACAUUCUGGGGGUUAGGGACACAAUUCAGUCCCUAUAAUAAUGGCCAUUAUUGUAACAUUGGAAACGCUGUUUAUCACUUCCCAGGUGGACAGUUAUUUUCUCUCAACACACUAAAGAUGGUGGUCCAUCGUCCUCCAACAUCCACCGGGCAGAGGGCAAGUCUGUAGCGGGGCUCAUUGUCUGUCUUUUGCAAACCACCCGCCCUCUCGUUCUGGUACCUUUUACGCCUCUCCUACUUAUUCCUGAGAGCUUGCAGUUUUACCAUAAUGCUUCUAGGUGUAUGUUUUAUUUGUAUUUAUCAUCCUGGGAAUCGGAGAGCGCUUUGAGUUGGUUUGCAUCCUCUCAUCUUUCUUUGAUCACAGAAAUUUCACAUCUACAAUUUCCCGUGAUCACUUCACCAUUCUUUCCUUCUGUGCUUUCGGAACACCUGUUAAUGGCGCCUGGAGCGGCUCCGUUGGUCUUCCAUGUGACUUCUAUGCUCUAUCUCAUUUUUCAUUGCUUUGGAUGUGUUGUUUAUUCUGUUCUUCCUGACUAAUGACUUCCAAAUGGCGAAAUUUCCCCUUGACCAUGUCAAUCUCGAGUUAACCUCAUCUAUUGAGCUUUUCAUUUGAAUAACCACAUUUUUCGUGUUGUAUUGGUCAGCCCCGGCUGCCAUCACAAAAUACAAUAGAGCGGAGGGCUUACUCCACAGGAAUUUAUUUCUCACAGUUCUAGAGGCUGCGAAGUCCAAGACCAAGGUGCUGGCUGAUUGGGUUCCCUGCUGAGGGCUCUCUUCCUGGCUGGUGGACGGCUGCCUUCUUGCUGUCUUUUCACAUGACGGAGGGAGAGAGUAAGCAAGCUCUCUGGUGUCUGCUCUUACAAGGACACUAAUCCCAUGAUGAAGGCCCCAUUGUUAUGACCUCACCUAACCCUGAUUACCUCCCAAAGGCCUCAUUUCUAAAUACCUUCACAUGGUGGGGGGGUGGGGGGGGCGAGGAGCGGGUUAAGGUUUCAACAUAUAGAUUGGUGGUGGUGGGGACACACAAUUCAGUCCAUAGCACAUGUGUCAGAUUUUAAUAAUUUUUUAUAACUGCUUGUUUUUGUUUCUUUUCUCCUCCUCCUUGCCCCCACCAAAGCCCCCGAGUACAUAGUUGUAUAUUCUCAUUGUGGGUCCUUCUGGUUGUGCCGUGUGGGCCACCGCCUCAGCAUGCCCUGAUGAGCGGUGCCGCGUCAGCACCCAGGAUCUGAAUGGUGACACCCUGGGCCACCGAAGCAGAGCUCACGAACUUAACUACUCGGCCCUGGGGUCGGCCCCUG
ensembl:lncRNA